rnacentral:lncRNA from 1 species
AGAAGAAGAAGAAGAAGAAAAAAAAAAAUCGAGACCUAACAACAAAACAGAAGAGUCAUUCACAACCCUAUUGAGAGGAAAAACGUCUUCACAAAUACAAAAGUGUUUCAAGGAAAAAUUGAAGUCACUCCUGCCCACAUCCACUGCCCAGUGUAACCGCCCUUAAAGAUUGCUGUGUAUUUGUGUACUAAUUUUUCUGUGUUUAUAAAAUCAUUCAUAUAUUUAUUAAUAACAUGUUUAGAAGAAAUCUCUGCAUUAACCUCAGGGCACACAGCUGUCUUUGAUCGCCCCCAACUCCUCAGAAUGUCCUGCCUCCAUUUCACUCUCCCACAGCUGACUUUCUCCCAUGCUUAGGCCCCCCAAGAGCACCUGCUGAAAAACUACUUCCAACCUUAAGCUCAGGCCCUGACUCACAGCCCUUUAUUCUAACAGAGCCCCUAGGUGUUUGGGCAGAGGUAGGUGGGUAUUACGAGGGAAGCGGGAGGAGGACAGUGAGGCCCCUUAAGUUCUUUGUCCUGGCCAGGCGGCUGCCCUCCUGCAUUACAGGUCUCCACAGGAUAGGUCCCAAUUCCCAACUACUUUCAAUUGGUGGGGUGUGGAUUGGCAGGAUGGGUUAAUGCUCUGCCACAACUUUCUCACUUUAUAAUGGGAGCUGUAUGGUAAAUUCACCUGAUAGUAAUAACUUAAGCAUAUCCUGAGAAUGAUCCUGUAUGGCAGACGCACCUGAAUCCUGAAUGUGUGUUUGAAGUUCUGAGCUAAGAAAUCUGGGGGUGGCCAACACAGAGAUUCAUUUCUUAUUUAUGAAGAAGCUGUGAACCCCCAGCCGUCCCGUCCCAUGGAAUGUGGGCUAUACAGGGGUUCAAGGCCCUGUAUUUUGGGUUAAAUGAAGACUGCCAGGUGGAGGUUGUUAGGGGGAGGCUGUGAAGUGAAAAUACUAUAUAAGGCCGGGCGCGGUGGCUCACACCUGUAAUCCCAGCACUUUGGGAGGCCGAGGUGGGCGGAUCAUGGGGUCAAGAGAUCGAGACCAUCCUGGCCAACAUGGUGAAACCCCGUCUCUACUAAAAAUACAAAAAAGUUAGCUGGGCAUGUUAGCACGUGCGUGUAGUCCCAGCUACUCGGGAGGCUGAGGCAGGAGAAUCGCUUGAACCCAGGAGGUGGAGGUUGCAGUGAGCCGAGACCGCGCCACUGCACUCCAGCCUGGCGACUGAUCGAGACUCCAUCUCAAAAUAAAACCCUCUAUAAAUUGUGUGACUUUAUUUUGCAAGUGGUUGUGGUUCUGUUGUCCAGCCCACUGUCGUUGGGUCUUGUUCCCCAAUUGUAAGC